UUUUUUUUGAACCCAGAUUAUCAUCAUCAUCAUCCAUAUAUAUGAUCAGCAACAAAAACCAAAAAGGAGAAGAGCAGAUCUAAAGAUUUUUUUGGCCUUUCUUCUCCAAAAAACGGAGCACGCCAUUAGCAUACACAGUACAUACUAAUCUUCUUCUUUUUCUUUUGAUCUACACUCCUCUCACGAUUCACACACACACACACACUUGCUCUAGCUGGAAACACUUGCACACAGUAGCACCUAUAAAAAGAGAGCAAAAUUAUGAGAAUCGGGGAGCUAAUCGGAGAAGGUUGAUUGAAAAUAGAGGGGAGAAGAAGAGUGAACGCGAGAGAGAGGAGAAAGAGGGAAAACGACCCUUGGUUUGGUUUUCCGGCGACGUACUCGCCGGAUUCAUCACCGGAAAUACACUGCCAGCCAUCCUCAUCACUGUUCUGGUGACCCAGUCGCCGGAUUUCAAAAAUUUUCGUUAGCUCGCUUCCUUCACAGCUCACCGAAAAAUAGAAAUAGUCAAGAAUUAGGAGAGAUCAAGAGAGCCAGUGAAGAAACGGAGGGGAAAGAAAAGAUUAAAAGGCAGCUUUGGUUGAAUAUUCCGGCGACGUUCUCGCCGGAAUCAUCAUCUCGUCUUGAAAUCCGGCUACCACCUCUCUGAAUCCGUUCAAAUCCAUUGAAAACACCUGCUCCUCACCGAAAACGCGUCAAACCGCUCAAAAAUCCAUCAAAAAUGUGACCCAUUUAUUUUUGCUUCCACUGUAGUUGCUAAUUCCGGCGAGUUCUUGGCCGGAAUUGGAUAUUUCAGAUCGAAUUAGGGUGUUGUGUUUGAAAUCGUGUCAACAGUUGUGAUUUGGAUUCCGUAUUACGAGUUUUUCUUCACUGGUUUUUAGAGCUGCCUGGUUAUUAUUUUCAAUACCUAGCUUGGUUUGAUCGUUGUUGAGGUUGUGCUCGGGAUAUUCGGACGCGGUCUUCAUUUUUUUACUCAAGUAAUAUUUGAGUUUGGAAGCUGCAAAUCGAGGGAAUGCCUCGAAGUAUCUGUAUAUAUUUACUCACCGGGGAAUGCCUCGAAGAAUUUUGUAUGCAAAGGAUGCUCGUGACCAAGGCCCGAGGCAUCGGGUAAAACAUAGUUUAGGACUAGUGUAGGUUAUUUCAGUAUUUUUAUUUCGGGUUGUAAUAAUUUGGACUGGACUUUACAUUUUUGUUUUGUUUUGUUAUUGUUUGA